rnacentral:lncRNA from 1 species
AAGAGACGAACAGUUCUUCCCCUCCAGAGGACAUUGUGUUCAAGGAGCUGUUCCAGAAGCAGAAACCCUCUCAGCCUUGAUUUUGGAUCCAGCUCAGGACCGUUGUGCUUAAGAUUCAUUGUUAUUGUGGCUUAUCAUCACAUCUGUUUCUAACCUCAUUAGGGCCAUCAUUCUUGGAAAGUCAUCCAGUUCAUCAAUAUCCUUUAACACUGUUUGGAUUUGUGGGUGUUCAUUCAAGCAGGAAGGGAGGCCUAUGGAGGUGGACUUGCUGCAGAAUAGCUUUCAACGCACAGCCCCGGCUUAGCUUUUCCUCUCUAGACUGGAAUCAAAGCAAACUUCUUGUCUCAAUGCAUGUGAAGGCAGUAAGUUAAUGAAGCAUGACAGUGAUUUUAUGCUCAUUUUUUGGCUAUGGGAUAUUCUACACCCACUUUAGUCCCAAACCAGUGUUAUAUCAGAAAUCAGAAUAUCCAACACAACUUAUUAAUCAAAACUCAAUUUUAUUUAGCAUUGAAGUGGAAGCUAAACAAUGAGAACAUAUGCACACAUAGAACGGAAAAACACUUAGCAGGGCCUUUCAGAAGGUGGGGAGUGGGAGGAGGGAGAGGAUCAGGAAAACUAACUAAUGGAUACUAGGCUUAAUACCUGGGUGAUGAAAUAAUCUGUACCACAAACCCCCAU